ACGGAAGGCAGUAGUGGGGAAUAUUGGGCAAUGGGGGAAACCCUGACCCAGCAACGCCGCGUGAAGGAAGAAGGCCUUCGGGUUGUAAACUUCUUUUACCAGGGACGAAGAAAGUGACGGUACCUGGAGAAAAAGCCACGGCUAACUACGUGCCAGCAGCCGCGGUAAUACGUAGGUGGCGAGCGUUAUCCGGAUUUACUGGGUGUAAAGGGCGCGUAGGCGGGGAUGCAAGUCAGAUGUGAAAUCUAUGGGCUCAACUCAUAAACUGCAUUUGAAACUGUAUCUCUUGAGUGUCGGAGAGGUAGAUGGAAUUCCUAGUGUAGCGGUGAAAUGCGUAGAUAUUAGGAGGAACACCAGUGGCGAAGGCGAUCUACUGGACGAUAACUGACGCUGAGGCGCGAAAGCGUGGGGAGCAAACAGGAUUAGAUACCCUGGUA
rnacentral:rRNA from 1 species